rnacentral:rRNA from 1 species
ACUCCUACGGGAGGCAGCAGUGGGGAACAUUGCACAAUGGGCGCAAGCCUGAUGCAGCCAUGCCGCGUGUGUGAAGAAGGCCUUCGGGUUGUAAAGCACUUUCAGUCGUGAGGAAGGUAGUGUAGUUAAUAGCUGCAUUAUUUGACGUUAGCGACAGAAGAAGCACCGGCUAACUCCGUGCCAGCAGCCGCGGUAAUACGGAGGGUGCGAGCGUUAAUCGGAAUUACUGGGCGUAAAGCGCAUGCAGGUGGUUUGUUAAGUCAGAUGUGAAAGCCCGGGGCUCAACCUCGGAAUAGCAUUUGAAACUGGCAGACUAGAGUACUGUAGAGGGGGUAGGAAUUUCAGGUGUAGCGGUGAAAUGCGUAGAGAUCUGAAGGAAUACCGGUGGCGAAGGCGGCCCCUGGACAGAUACUGACACUCAGAUGCGAAAGCGUGGGAGCAAACAGGAUUAGAUACCCCUGGUAGACUGUCA